AGCGAACGCUGGCGGCAGGCUUAACACAUGCAAGUCGAGCGCCGUAGCAAUACGGAGCGGCAGACGGGUGAGUAACACGUGGGAACGUACCUUUUGGUUCGGAACAACACAGGGAAACUUGUGCCAAUACCGGAUAAGCCCUUACGGGGAAAGAUUUAUCGCCGAAAGAUCGGCCCGCGUCUGAUUAGCUAGUUGGUGAGGUAACGGCCCACCAAGGCGACGAUCAGUAGCUGGUCUGAGAGGAUGAUCAGCCACACUGGGACUGAGACACGGCCCAGACUCCUACGGGAGGCAGCAGUGGGGAAUAUUGGACAAUGGGCGCAAGCCUGAUCCAGCCAUGCCGCGUGAGUGAUGAAGGCCCUAGGGUUGUAAAGCUCUUUUGUGCGGGAAGAUAAUGACUGUACCGCAAGAAUAAGCCCCGGCUAACUUCGUGCCAGCAGCCGCGGUAAUACGAAGGGGGCUAGCGUUGCUCGGAAUCACUGGGCGUAAAGCGCACGUAGGCGGACUCUUAAGUCGGUGGUGAAAUCCUGGAGCUCAACUCCAGAACUGCCUUCGAUACUGGGAGUCUCGAGUUCGGGAGAGGUGAGUGGAACUGCGAGUGUAGAGGUGAAAUUCGUAGAUAUUCGCAAGAACACCAGUGGCGAAGGCGGCUCACUGGCCCGAUACUGACGCUGAGGUGCGAAAGCGUGGGGAGCAAACAGG
rnacentral:rRNA from 1 species